UAAACCUCCCGACACCCUCUUCCUCUCCGCUACGCCGACCUCUCCUUCUCUUCAUCUCCCGACGCCUUCCUCUUCCCCUACCAUCACCCCAAGACAAUUCGCCAACCCCCUCUCCCGAUUCAUUGUGUCUCUCGAUUCCUUUCCUCUUCUCCUCUCUCGAUCUAGCCAUUGAUCCACCGCCGCAUCACCUCUUCUCCUCUUCUCGUUGCUGUCUCGAUCCACCAUCGCCAAUGAUCGAGGGCCACCCGAAUGGUGCCUUUCCGGUGCUCUUCCCUCCGGUGCAGCCGUCGGCAAAAGGAGAGGUCGACGCCACCUCUCUGCGGGAGGCUUGGACAGCAAUGUCAUUGGCCAGGGGAGAACCGCUGUCAUGUCUCCAUUUGCUAGAUCCAUGGUCGCGCAACCACCCAACGCCUGCGAUCGCCAGCCUUGGUUGAUACCAGCAUCACGAGGGCAUUGUCGUUCCUCAUCCGACCUCGGUUGGUCAUACUUCCGUUGCAGUCAGUUGUGCUUUCGGCGAGACUUGUCCCACGGCGUUGCAUCGCCACCCCAUCUCUACCCUAGAUCGGCAUCACAGUAGUCGAUCCUCCCUCUCCUCCCGCGACAUUGGUCCGAGUAGAAGGCUUGUUGUGUGACCUCCCAGUUGUAGCAACCCUCUUUGGUCGUUGUUUCAUCUGAUGGGCCACUGUUGUCGGCUCUCUGUCGCCUGUCGAUCUACUGCUGGAGCAAUGAUCGGCCACCGAGGAAGAGGAGCUCCACUUCGUCACAGAUUUAUCCGAGUUCUUCACCGAGCGCCUGGGAUUCUGAACUUGGGACUUUGACUCGAGACGAGCGUCUCAACAAGAGAUUAUCUAGUAUGAUCGACAGAUAAAGACGGAUAUAUCUUGACUUAUCUUUUAUGAUAUUGUCACUUUGAUAUGCAUAGUAAUUUAUAGCUAGUAGCAAUGAUCAUGUUUAGAAUUAUCCUUGGUACGUCAUUAUUUGAUACCUAUAGUAUGUUCUGUUUGUUGCCUGUUAUGUAUCCAUGUUUAUAUCUCUUGAUUA